UGUUCUUAUAUACAUAUUUUUCCAAAAUGUAGUACACUACACUAUAUCAAUAUUGAGAUUUGGGGUUGUAAUUUUUUUCAUUUUUUUUCAUUGUUUUAAAAAACAGCAUAACAUAAUUAAUUGUAGUCUCGGGAUAUAUAAGACAUUUGUAAAUAGCGAUGACAUAUGUUUCACUUUGAGUUAUCUGUCGUUUACCAGGAAGUAUCCUAAGCUAAAAUUACUCAAUUAUAUUAUUGAAUGUUCCAAUGCCCAUUACACAUGAAUUAUACGAUUGUGUGAAAGUUUAAAUCUCGUUCUUAAUGCAUUAUAAUCAGUGAUUUAUUUUUUGUUCAAUCCUAAAUUUCAGUGCAUGAAUAUCUUAUGUAUCCCUUCCCUCAACUUUUCAGUAAAAUGUAAAUAGUUCGUUUUCCAAAAUUUUCAUCCUUAUCGUACCUGUUGUCUGCACUAGAUUACACUAUAGAUCUGUUGAUAUAAUCUAUAAGCCGUUUGCCCUUAUCAUUGUGUUUGGCGUGCAUUUUCCUUCCUGAUUUGUUUAAUCACCAUUAAAUCCAAUUUUCUAUUAAAAGUAUAUUAAACCACUUCUGUUUGUUAAGUAUUGAUUACUUGAACAAAAAGCUAUCCGCAAGAUAAAUUUCUUUUUCAAGCAUAUCAGGCAAACAAUAGAUAACAUAGAGAUAACCUACUACGUUACAUUUAUUUGUUCAAUAUACCGGAUCUAACCGUCAUAACAGGUGAAGGACAUUCUGAAUGGUGAAGAUCAAGAAAGAAAAGAAUGUAAAUAUGAACACCGAUGCUCAUAUAAGUGUAAUGCAAACACACCCAGUGCAACCAAAUGAACGCAUAUCACGGAUUAGAGCACUACGGAUCCUUGGUGGACUACAGAUCAUUCUAGGUAUCGUAUGUUGUAUCCUUGGUAUGGUUGGAGCUAUUAUAAGUAACACUGAGAUUACCAGUCGUUGCAAAAACUACCACAACAACCACGGUAUUGAAGUGUAUAUGUCUUCAUAUCAUUGUAGACAAACAAACACCAUCCUUAUAAUGGAUAUAAUUGGCAUGGCUUUUUCAGGUUGGUUUAUACUAACAGGUGGUUUACCGUUAUGCAUGACAGGACAACGUCAAUCAAGAUGGAGAUGCAUGAUAAUAGCAUAUCUGGUUUGUAACAUAAUAUUAGCAGCUGUGUUUUCACCCACCGUGGUUGCCUUAGGAAUUAUCGGAGCACUCGAUUACCGAGGUACUCAACUACUAGAGUGGUGAAACUUCAAUGAGGUAACAGUACACAAGCAGAGACAUCGAUUCGAUGGAUGGUAAUGAUUACAUUACUCAGUACCAAUUUGCCUGCACAAGAUCACCAAGGUGUCAUAUUCAUGAACACGGCACAAUCUGGAAUGGUGUAUAGUAUGCCAAACACUCCAAUAUCUUUAGAGAACCAGCAAGGAUACCAUCAAAUGCAGAUGAACCAAAUGCACGGAUUUAAUGGUCAACAACCGGCAAAUAUUCCAAAUUACCAACAACAAGCAGACUACACGCAAGGAAAUCGGAUACCAGUACAAGAAAACUAUGGGCAGCAUUUACAAGCAUUUGCGACCGGUAACCAGUAAUAAAACAUAACCGAACAGCACACAAAGACACCUGAUGUAGUUAAAAAUCAACCAUUUCCGGUUGCCGACACUUCAAUAAGAAGUGAAAUGUAAACAUUCGUCAAAUUUAAAGUAAUUCAAAUAUUACAAGCGUCCUGUCCUAGGGGAUGAAAUUGUAUGACAAUAAGGCUUAAGAAUUAUUUGUUACCGAGAAAGAAAAUCACUGUAAUACUGAUUACUAGUUUUCUUUCAUGUAAAAGUGAAAUAAAAUGUUGAAUAUGGUCAGGUCAGAUUAAAUUGUCAUCUUGUCGAUUUGUCUUCUUGAUGAAAAGUUAUAUAUGUAUUUUA